rnacentral:rRNA from 1 species
GAGUUUGAUCAUGGCUCAGGAUGAACGCUAGCGGCAGGCUUAACACAUGCAAGUCGAGGGGCAGCACGGGUAGCAAUACCUGGUGGCGACCGGCGGAAGGGUGCGUAACGCGUGAGCAACAUGCCCUAUACAGGGGAAUAAACCAGGGAAACUUGGUCUAAUGCCCCAUAGCAAUAAGAUAAGGCAUCUUAUUUUAUUUAAAGCUUCGGUGGUAUAGGAUUGGCUCGCGUGACAUUAGCUGGAUGGUGGGGUAACGGCCCACCAUGGCGAUGAUGUCUAGGGGUUCUGAGAGGAAGACCCCCCACACUGGGACUGAGACACGGCCCAGACUCCUACGGGAGGCAGCAGUGAGGAAUAUUGGACAAUGGAUGGAAAUCUGAUCCAGCCAUGCCGCGUGCAGGAAGACGGCCCUAUGGGUUGUAAACUGCUUUUCUACGGGAGCAAUAAGGUCUACGCGUAGACUGAUGAGAGUACCGUAGGAAUAAGCAUCGGCUAACUCCGUGCCAGCAGCCGCGGUAAUACGGAGGAUGCGAGCGUUAUCCGGAUUUAUUGGGUUUAAAGGGUGCGUAGGCGGCUUUUUAAGUCAGCGGUGAAAUUUUGCAGCUUAACUGUAACGGUGCCGUUGAUACUGGGGAGCUAGGAUUUGGUUGCUGUGGGUGGAAUGUGUGGUGUAGCGGUGAAAUGCUUAGAGAUCACACAGAAUAUCGAUUG